rnacentral:rRNA from 1 species
GACGAACGCUGGCGGCGUGCUUAACACAUGCACGUCGAACGGAGUGGCGAACGGGUGAGUCACACGUGGGUAAGCUGCCUUGCACUUCGGGACAAGCUUGGGAAACUGGGUCUAAUACCUGCUCGUGCAAGAUGAGCUCGCGGCCUCUCCGGUUGUUGGUGGGGUACUGGCCUACCCAGGCGUCGAAGGGUAGCCGGCCUGUUAGGGUGUACGGCCACAUUCGGACUGAGGUACGGCCCAGACUCCUACGUGAGGCAGCGGAGGGUGAUAUUGCACAAUGGGCGUACACCUGAUGCAGCGGCGCGGCGUGGGGGGUGAAGGCCUUCGGGUUGUAAACUCCUGUCGACAGGGACGCGGUAACUGUAUAAGAAGCACCGGCUAACUACGUGCCAGCAGCCGCGGUAAUAC